GACGAACGCUGGCGGCGUGCUUAACACAUGCAAGUCGAACGGAAAGGCCCUGCUUUUGUGGGGUGCUCGAGUGGCGAACGGGUGAGUAACACGUGAGUAACCUGCCCUUGACUUUGGGAUAACUUCAGGAAACUGGGGCUAAUACCGGAUAGGAGCUCCUGCUGCAUGGUGGGGGUUGGAAAGUUUCGGCGGUUGGGGAUGGACUCGCGGCUUAUCAGCUUGUUGGUGGGGUGGGGGCUUCCCAAGGCUUGGACGGGUAGCCGGCCUGGAAGGGUGACAGGCACCAUGGGACUGAGGGAGGGCCCAGUGUGCUACGGGGGGCAACAGGGGGGAAUAUUGUCCAAUGGGCCGGAGCCUGAUGCAGCAACGCCGCGUGCGGGAUGACGGCCUUCGGGUUGUAAAACGCAUUCGCCUGUGACGAAGCGUGAGUGACGGUAAUGGGUAAAGAAGCACCGGCUAACUACGUG
rnacentral:rRNA from 1 species